GUUCCCGCUUCCUUUUCUUCCUUGUUUUUCCCAUACGUCAUUAAACUUCUUUCUUCAGUGAUUCUCUACAGAGAAAACAUGGCGACCCCUUUCCCCUCUACGGGAACACUCACUCUCUCUCCCCCUUCUACUUAUCCCACAUCUUCCCCCACCAAUCAAUUCCUCGUCGAAUUCCCUCUCCGUUCCAAUUUCUCCACCCUCACCUACCGCUCAACCCACCUCCGUCCCAUCUACGCCGUUUCCGCUUCCGAGAAAAUUGAAAAGUUGGGUGCCGAAAUCUCCUCCUUGACUCUUGAG
rnacentral:misc_RNA from 1 species